rnacentral:rRNA from 1 species
GACAGAGGAUGCAAGCGUUAUCCGGAAUGAUUGGGCGUAAAGCGUCUGUAGGUGGCUUUUUAAGUCUGCCGUCAAAUCCCAGGGCUUAACCCUGGACAGGCGGUGGAAACUACCAAGCUGGAGUACGGUAGGGGCAGAGGGAAUUUCCGGUGGAGCGGUGAAAUGCGCAGAUAUCAGGAAGAACACCAAUGGCGAAGGCAGCUCUCUGGGACGGUACUGACACUGAGACGCGAAAGCGUGGGGAGCGAACAGG